rnacentral:rRNA from 1 species
AGGUAAGCUACUAAGAGCGAAUGGUGGAUGCCUUGACUGGUAAAGGCGAUGAAGGACGUACUAGACUGCGAUAAGCUACGGGGAGCUGUCAAGAAGCUUUGAUCCGUAGAUUUCCGAAUGGGGCAACCCAAUGUAUAGAGAUAUGCAUUACCUAUAUAGGAGCGAACGAGGGGAAUUGAAACAUCUUAGUACCCUCAGGAAAAGAAAUCAAUAGAGAUUGCGUCAGUAGCGGCGAGCGAAAGCGCAAGAGGGCAAACCCAGUGCUUGCACUGGGGGUUGUAGGACUGCAAUGUGCAAGAGGUAAGUUUAGCAGAACAUUCUGGAAAGUAUAACCAUAGAGGGUGAUAGUCCCGUAUGCGAAAAACAAACCUUAGCUAGCAGUAUCCUGAGUAGGGCGGGACACGAGGAAUCCUGUCUGAAUCCGGGUCGACCACGAUCCAACCCUAAAUACUAAUACCAGAUCGAUAGUGCACAAGUACCGUGAGGGAAAGGUGAAAAGAACUGAGGUGAUCAGAGUGAAAUAGAACCUGAAACCAUUUGCUUACAAUCAUUCAGAGCCCUAUGUAGGAAUACAGGGUGAUGGACUGCCUUUUGCAUAAUGAGCCUGCGAGUUGUGGUGUCUGGCAAGGUUAAGCAAACGCGAAGCCGUAGCGAAAGCGAGUCUGAAUAGGGCGCUUAGUCAGAUGCUGCAGACCCGAAACGAAGUGAUCUAUCCAUGAGCAAGUUGAAGCUAGUGUAAGAACUAGUGGAGGACUGAACCCAUAGGCGUUGAAAAGCCCCGGGAUGACUUGUGGAUAGGGGUGAAAGGCCAAUCAAACUUCGUGAUAGCUGGUUCUCUCCGAAAUAUAUUUAGGUAUAGCGUUGUGUCGUAAUAUAAGGGGGUAGAGCACUGAAUGGGCUAGGGCAUACACCAAUGUACCAAACCCUAUCAAACUCCGAAUACCUUAUAUGUAAUCACAGCAGUCAGGCGGCGAGUGAUAAAAUCCGUCGUCAAGAGGGAAACAACCCAGACUACCAGCUAAGGUCCCUAAAUCUUACUUAAGUGGAAAACGAUGUGAAGUUACUUAAACAACCAGGAGGUUGGCUUAGAAGCAGCCAUCCUUUAAAGAAAGCGUAAUAGCUCACUGGUCUAGUGAUUUUGCGCGGAAAAUAUAACGGGGCUAAAGUAAGUACCGAAGCUGUAGACUUAGUUUACUAAGUGGUAGGAGAGCGUUCUAUUUGCGUCGAAGGUAUACCGGUAAGGAGUGCUGGAGCGAAUAGAAGUGAGCAUGCAGGCAUGAGUAGCGAUAAUUAAUGUGAGAAUCAUUAACGCCGUAAACCCAAGGUUUCCUACGCGAUGCUCGUCAUCGUAGGGUUAGUCGGGUCCUAAGUCGAGUCCGAAAGGGGUAGACGAUGGCAAAUUGGUUAAUAUUCCAAUACCAACAUUAGUGUGCGAUGGAAGGACGCUUAGGGCUAAGGGGGCUAGCGGAUGGAAGUGCU